UCAUAGAAAAAUUACUGUGCUCAGCACUACAAUCGACGUGUGAAAGCCGAACAUAGUCAAUUUUGUACGGCAAAAAUAUAAAAAUUAUAAUUAAUCAUAGAAAAUUUAAAGGAUAAAAUAUUCUUUCUUAAAAUUCAGCUUUGUAAAAUUUGUAAAACAGCACAGUAAAAAGUUCCAUUCCCGACAGAAAAAUAUUUUUUAAUUGUUUUUCUUACAAAAAUUACUAUUUAAGCUGCCAUAGAGUCCUAGACGAACUAAUAUAUUUUACCAUGCUGUCUUAUAAUUUUUCAAAUGCUAUCUGCUAAUAGUAGAAAGAAAGAAAGAGAAAGAAGGUAUCAACGCUGUUGAGCAUGAGAAUUAUUUUAAACAAAAAAAAUGAUAUCUCAUUAACUAUUAAUCGUAGAGAAGCCUAUAAGGGGUCAUUUUGUUCGUAAAGCGAUUUUCUAAAAAUUGUACGCAUUAUGUCUAGAUCUCGGAUUCAUAGUUUUCGAGAUAUUCUACUAUUAAGUUAAAACAACGUGCAUUCUGCUAUUAACAUAAGAAAGAAUCGAAGGUCGGAAAAGAUCGGGCAUCUUCGAAGUUUUUCGAAGCAGGUUUGAAUACGUUUAUUGUUCCUCAGUGCGUAAUUGACUGUGUUAUCAAUAGAGAGUGAUACAUUAUACAGUGACACAUAAAAGUGCGUCAUUUUGUAACGACUAAAAUGGAUUUACAAGGGCAUUUUGAACGUCCAGAAAUUAUCAACAACGUGAGUGUCAUUAACUUAUGAAAAACUGAAUGUUAUCGAUUGUACAACGAUCAGUAUACGUGGGAUGUACUAA